GCAAUGUUGAACUUGGGAUCAUAUACAUCAAUGCCUGAAACUGCCCUAUAAAGCCCUGGCAUCGUGAACGAGACAUGGCUUUCGUAUUGCCCUGCCCGGUUCUUGCUGAAAGGUUGGAAGAUCAGUACUUUCUACUUGCUGCAUUCAUUGCUAUGAGAUCAGCACUGAAUUGGCAGGAGAAGUGAUAUUUUGAGUCCAAGUCCCUCCAGUUCACAUCUGAAUCUUCAUAUUUAGUCUUCUCUAAAGCAUGAGCAAUCGUUCCCUAGGAUCGAGGACACGUUCGUAUAUAGAUGUUAUUUUCUCAUAAAAACAACACAUUGCAAUAGAAGUUGGUUCAAAUGCUUACCUGAGUCACUCCAAGCUUGCUAGCAACUAAAGAAGCAACUAAGUUUCCAUCUGUGUAGUUUCCAAUUAUGAGGUCAGGCUUUCCUUCCAUUAGCUCAACAAUCUUUGCUGAUGCAUCCUAGUGGAGUGAAAAAGCACACAAAUUUGAUUAGGUCAUAGUAAGAAACUCGUUUCUGUGUAGCUCGUGUAGAGAGCGUGCUUGCCUGAGCAUAUCUCUCCAAGUAAGGAUAGAUGUCGAAUCUAGAGACCCACGGUCCAAGAACUCCUUUCUCGGUGAUGAAUGGAACCCUGAGGAUGUGGGAGUGCGUUGUGCCCUCGACAAGCUCCAUUUCUUGAUUGCAUUUGUUUCCUUUGGCAUCCGGGAUUAGACGAGUCACCACUAGAAUCUGGGGCUUCACAUUCAAACCUUGCUGCUUUAUUCUCAACAACAUUUCUUCUUCCAUAGCUCUCACUUGAUCAAGGAUGUAAACCACCUGUUCAACAUAUUUCUUGGUCAAAACAUGGCUCACCCUGAAAAGUACUGAUAAAAAAACAAACGACACGUUCACCUGGCCGCCAGUGUCGGGUAAGCCUAAGACAUCUGCUUGUCCAAAGUAGCCAUGAACGGAGAAGACAACGACAUUGUAUAUGACCGGAAGCCUACUGAAAAAUGCUUCCAUGUUUGCAGGAUCAGGAUAAAGAAGAUGAGGUCAUUACUUCUGCUCAAAAUUCUGGUAUGGAGUUUCCUUUGGCAUAGCAGAGACGAAAACUUCUGCGAUUACCAAUGCUUCUUGAAGCUUCAUAACAGUAUCAAUAUUCUCAUUGAUCAUAAGUUUCUGCAAAAGGGAUUUCCAAAAAAGUUAUGGAUCUAAUAAGCAACUUUUCAAUCUGCAGGUGGUGACCUUCAAACUCCCCUACCUCUCCGUUUCGUUCAAGAGUUAACAGGUAAUCAACCAAAGGCUUCGCGCUCUCAGGCUUCCCACCAAGCACCGAGGUCAUGAAUUUAGAGACGUACCCGAGCCCAUUCCCAAUCGAAGACGACAGAGUCAGUUUUGGAGUGCCAAUAUCAAACACUCCAAAAUCUAUCUCUAGAGAAUUUUCAUCACUUGCCCUGCAUAAAAAAAAAGAACAUUAUUUGUCCAAAAUCUGAGAAAAAUCCUCUACAAAUAUCAGAAAGGCUGUCACCUUCCACCUUCACAUAGUCCCAAAUACCAGGAUUAUGCCUUACUGCAAACGCAACGUAUGGUGGCACGACUGCUGCUUCCUGCAUAUCAUUAUCGAAGGCUGAAUACCAAGUAGUUGCUAGCAGAGUUCGUUAUGCUAAAGCUCGAGUAUAUGUGGGCCCGGGGGGCCCUACCUGCGUCGAGUUCAAGAUAUCACCAAGUGUACCCUCCAUGACCUGGGAUCUUUCAACCUUAUCCUCAAUGGUCUGCUCAAUCUCCUCCUGCAAAUGCUGGAGCUUCAUCAGCCUUCUUCCCUUUUCGGUAAACCUUCAAAUAUUUUCAAAGAAAGCCAUGUGAGAAAACAAGGUCACAAAUCCUAGCAACACAAGAAGACAACCAACCAGUACCUAGUAAAACAUCUCUUCAUAUGGUACCGGCUCUGCCUCAACGCCUCGGGCAUAGUAUCCACCACAGCAGCUGAAGCCAUCGCACUCGAUCAAAGGCUGGAAAGCUGUCUUUGCAAGAAGGGGAUUUUGUGGGGCUGUCUGUUUUUUGGACAAAGAUUGUGGGAUUGUUUAUAUAGGAGAAGAAAAUGGCAUGUGUUUGGAGAUGCAUGUGGGAAUAAUUUACAAGGCUGCUGCAUAGCUAAUGGAAGCAAGAGAAAAGAACAUUCUUUGAGCUGAUUGUGGGGAAGACAAACUUGUCUUCAAGAAAAGAAUUCACUUUUUCAAACAGGUGAAUUUUUUUUUUUUCACAGGAGCUUGCCUUUUUUAAUUGUUCUACCAAUUUAAAAAGUGGAGGGAAAGUAUUUUUCUUUUAGUGUGAUGGAAACAUAUUCUUUUCUUUAAGAAGUUCACAGCUCACUUGCUCAAAACAUGUAAGGCUAAGUAGUGAUUUGGUGGAGUGGCCACCUCAUGAUUGAAACGUUUAUGAGUUUGAAUCAUAUAUAAAAAUUCGGAAAAAAUCAAUUUUUUU